rnacentral:rRNA from 1 species
AGGUCUUGACAUCCAGGUAAACUUGCAGAGAUGCAUCGUGCCUUCGGGCAAUCUGAGACAGGUGGUGCAUGGUUGUCGUCAGCUCGUGUCGUGAGAUGUUGGGUUAAGUCCCGCAACGAGCGCAACCCUUAUUUCCAGUUGCUAACGCUUCGGGCGAGAACUCUGGAGAGACUGCCGGGGACAACUCGGAGGAAGGUGGGGACGACGUCAAAUCAUCAUGCCCCUUAUGACCUGGGCUACACACGUGCUACAAUGGCUAUCACAAAGAGAAGCGAGCCUGCAAGGGUAAGCGGAUCUCAAAAAAAUAGUCCCAGUUCGGAUUGUGGGCUGCAACUCGCCCACAUGAAGUCGGAGUUGCUAGUAAUCGCGGAUCAGCAUGCCGCGGUGAAUACGUUCCCGGGCC